GGGACGUACGCGCUGUUUCUCGCAGCGGGGCCGUCCCUUGGGGUGAAGCCGCAGCCGCGGCCGGGCAUCUUCGCCAGUCCGAACCCGACAGGUCAUCCUUCGCAGGCGGCUGACGAAGGGUUGC
rnacentral:sRNA from 1 species